GUAAUGGUAUACACUCAAUUUAUAACCUACACGGUUUGACAACCCCGGAAGCUUUUAUGCCAUGCCAAUAGGUAUGCAUUUGGAAAUACAGAAGACGGCAAAGAAUUCCACUCCCUAUAUACAAUCCAGAAGGAGAGACCAGGGUUAACAGGAGAACAAGAAGAUCUGCAAUAACGAACGUCAAAUAUCCUGUGAAAAAAUGUUUCGUCGACAACGAACCAAUAUCCAUCACGGUUGCAUCGUCCCGAAACCCGAAUCAUGUGCGGUUCUUCAUUGUUCUUCUUUUUUCUUUCUUUUUCUUGCUGAUUUCGAGAAGACUGCGUUUCCUUAAGAACACCCAACUCUUCUUUAAGAAACAAUAAGGGCUAUAUCUCAC